GCAGAGUCACUGCCGGGAGUUAACAUCCGUUUAUCGGCACCAGCCGCUCGUGAAAAGGGGCUACUUCAAAUAGAGAAAUAAAAUGGCUUUUUGGUGAUGGAAAACAUCAUAUUUUAUUUUAUUUUUUUAAAUUUCUUUUAAUUGGAGCUCAAUUUGCCAACAUACAGCAUAACACCCAGUGUUCAUCCCAUCAAGUGGAAAACAUCCUUUUUUUUUUUUUUUUGAAAACGUCCUAUUUUAAAACGAGGCACCGACUGUCAACCGCAGGCUCGAUGCCGUUGAGAGGAGGGGAGGACACGAGGCACGUUUACUCACGUGUGGACCCCGAGCCCGCCACAGCGAAAAAAUUAGCCGGUCACGCCUCCGGUUGGUUGGAAAGUCAAUACAAGUAAGAAACUCGAGAAAGGAGGAAACAUGGAAUUAAAACAUGGUAGUAAAAAAAAAAAAAUUAAAUUAAUUAAAAAAUAAAAAAAUACAACAUGGUAGUGAGCGGUUAAAGAAGUUUGCAGCCACGUCUAGUUUUUCACGAUCAAUUUAAGAAACCUGAAGCAAUUGCUUAAAAAAGCAGUUCCAUAAAUAAAUAAAUAAAAAUACAAUAAAAAAAUAAAUAAAAGCAGGUCCUGGCACACGCACGUGUGGGGGCGGGAGAGACGGAGACUGCGCUGGACACCGGUGAGAGGACGUGGUGCGUCGGCCGCUCCCAGGUCGUCCCUGUGGGGGCAGCGGUUCACCUGCACGCGAGGCCGUGACCGCAGAGGAGCCGUAGCACACGUGGCCGUGAUUUUCGUUAAAAGGCGCUGGAGCUUCCAAUCACUGAGCGGGAAAGUAGCAAUAAGAGGUGCUCGGGAAUCCAGCUAAGACGGUGCAACAACACCGUGUUCCCCUAAAGUACCACCAAAUGGGGCAGCUCCCGGGGGACGGCCCUAUAGACCCUGGAGGACGGGCCAGGAGGCGGCGUUGCCCCCUCUGCUGCCCCGACGCCGGCAGCCCCCCCCCCCCCCCCCGUCCUGGCCUCGCAUCCCCCGGGCCCCACCCGGCCCCCAGCAGCUGAGCCCGUGUCCUGCGCCCUUGGGUGGCCCCUUGACGGCUCGGAGCCACCGUGCCCGAAUCUGCAAACACACGCACUGGCUCUCGCUCUCGCUCCCUCGGCUUCUUUCUCAAUAAACGUGAAAUCGAUGGCG
rnacentral:lncRNA from 1 species